UUGCAUUUCUACAGGCUGGGAAGUCCAAGAUCAAGGUGCUAGCAGAUUCCCUAUCUGGGUCUUGCUCUAACACCCAGAUUAGAGUGCAGUGGUGCAGUCUUGGCUCACUGAAGCCUCAACCUCCCAGGCUCAAACGAUCCUGCCACUUCCACCUCCUGAGUAGCUGGGACUACAGGUAUGCACCACCACGCCCAGGUAAUUUUUAAAAAAUAGAUAAAUAAUAUUUUUGACUAAAUUAACAAGCAGGUAAUAAUUUUUCCUUAUUAAAAUAUAUCAGCUCAAAUCUUGAGUCUUCAGAAAGCUUUGUU
rnacentral:lncRNA from 10 species